rnacentral:rRNA from 1 species
UACAGAGGUCCCAAGCGUUGUUCGGAUUCACUGGGCGUAAAGGGUGCGUAGGUGGCGGGGUAAGUCGGAUGUGAAAUCUCCGAGCUCAACUCGGAAAUGGCAUUGGAAACUACCUUGCUCGAGGGUUGGAGGGGGGGACUGGAAUACUUGGUGUAGCAGUGAAAUGCGUAGAUAUCAAGUGGAACACCAGUGGCGAAGGCGAGUCCCUGGACAACUCCUGACACUGAGGCACGAAAGCUAGGGGAGCAAACAGG